UGGGGAAUAUUGGACAAUGGGCGGAAGCCUGAUCCAGCAACGCCGUGUGAGGGAUGACGGCCUUCGGGUUGUAAACCUCUUUCAGUACCGACGAAAGCGAAAGUGAGGUAGGUACAGAAGAAGGACCGGCCAACUACGUGCCAGCAGCCGCGGUAAUACGUAGGGUCCGAGCGUUGUCCGGAAUUAUUGGGCGUAAAGGGCUCGUAGGCGGUUUGUCGCGUCGGGAGUGAAAACAGCGGGCUUAACUCGUUGCUUGCUUUCGAUACGGGCAGACUAGAGGUAUGCAGGGGAGAAUGGAAUUCCUGUGUAGCGGUGAAAUGCGCAGAUAUGCAGGAGGAACACCGGUGGCGAAGGCGGUUCUCUGGGCAUUACCUGACGCUGAGGAGCGAAAGUGUGGGGAGCGAACAGGAUUAGAUCCCCUGGUAGUCCACACCGU
rnacentral:rRNA from 1 species